GGGCCCAGAGUCCCUCCCCUCGCUGGGCCCCGGUCCCGCCGGCGUCUAUAACGCCGUCGCAGCGGCCUUUAACCCCGCCUCUCACUCGAGCCCUGCCCGCGUCCAAGUCCCGCCCUCAAGGCGGCCUCAGCUACGACCGCCGCGCGCCUCCCUGGAGGCGCCCGCUCCUGCCCGGAGCCCUGCCCGUCUUGGGCCCGCCCUUCCGGGCCCUGCCGCGUUGAGUGGCGGAGUCGGGAUCCAGGUGGCCCGCCGGCCGGCUCAGUCCACCUCCCCGCUCCCGGCCUCGCGCCCCACCCCUUGGAUGAGAAAACUGAAACUGAGAGGGGACGUGACUGAUCCAACGUCAUACAGAAAGUCAGGCCCUGGGGAGUACAGGGCCAGGCCUGGGGCAAAAGGCCGGUGGGCGUCCAGUACGCCACAGGGACCAGCCAAAGGAGGCAGUGCCCAGUGAUGCUUUCCCAAAUCCAGGGGAGAAGGACUCAACGAGAGCCCUGUGUGGAGAGGAACUAGGCCCCCAGCCAACAACCAGCAGUGACUCACUGUGAGAGAGUGAAUCAUCUUGGAAGUGGAUCCUAAGCCCCAAUAGAGACUUCAGAUGAAACUGCAACCCUGGCUGACAUCUGACUGCAGUGGCAUAAGAAACCCUUAUGUCAGAAUCACCCUGCAAAGCCCAAAUUCUUGACCCACCAAGUGAAAGAGAAUAAAUGACGAUUGUUGUGUUUGA
rnacentral:lncRNA from 1 species